rnacentral:rRNA from 1 species
GGCUUAACACAUGCAAGUCGAGGGGCAUCAGGGAGAAAGCUUGCUUUCUUUGCUGGCGACCGGCGCACGGGUGAGUAACGCGUAUCCAACCUUCCCCUUAGUAGGGCAUAGCCCGGCGAAAGUCGGAUUAAUACCCUAUGUUGUGUCAUGAGGACAUCUGAAUAACACUAAAGAUUUAUCGCUAAGGGAUGGGGAUGCGUCCGAUUAGCUUGCCGGCGGGGUAACGGCCCACCGGGGCGACGAUCGGUAGGGGUUCUGAGAGGAAGGUCCCCCACACUGGUACUGAGACACGGACCAGACUCCUACGGGAGGCAGCAGUGAGGAAUAUUGGUCAAUGGGCGAGAGCCUGAACCAGCCAAGUAGCGUGCAGGAUGACGGCCCUAUGGGUUGUAAACUGCUUUUAUGCGGGGAUAAAGUGACGUACGUGUACGUUUUUGUAGGUACCGCAUGAAUAAGGACCGGCUAAUUCCGUGCCAGCAGCCGCGGUAAUACGGAAGGUCCGGGCGUUAUCCGGAUUUAUUGGGUUUAAAGGGAGCGCAGGCGGAGGCUUAAGCGUGACGUGAAAUGCCGCGGCUCAACCGUGGAAGUGCGUCGCGAACUGGGUUUCUUGAGUGAGUGCGACGUGUACGGAAUUCGUGGUGUAGCGGUGAAAUGCUUAGAUAUCACGAAGAACCCCGAUUGCGAAGGCAGUGCACGAGCCCUUUACUGACGCUAAAGCUCGAAGGUGCGGGUAUCGAACAGGAUUAGAUACCCUGGUAGUCCGCACGGUAAACGAUGGAUGCCCGCUGUUGGCGAUAUACAGUCAGUGGCCAAGCGAAAGCGUUAAGCAUCCCACCUGGGGAGUACGCCGGCAACGGUGAAACUCAAAGGAAUUGACGGGGGCCCGCACAAGCGGAGGAACAUGUGGUUUAAUUCGAUGAUACGCGAGGAACCUUACCCGGGCUUGACAUCCCGAUGACAGAGUAUGUAAUGUACUUUCUCUACGGAGCAUUGGAGACAGGUGGUGCAUGGUUGUCGUCAGCUCGUGUCGUGAGAUGUUGGGUCAGUCCCGCAACGAGCGCAACCCUUACCCUUAGUAGCCAGCAGUAAGAUGGGCACUUCUAGGGGACUGCGGGGAUACCCGGAGAGGUGGGAUGACGUCAUCAUCAUGCCCUUAUGACAUGGCUACCACUGCUCAUGCGCACACAAGGGAGCGAGGGUGACCCGAACGAAAUCUAAAGGGCUCAGUCGGACUGAUCGACGACUCAAGCGAAUCCUAUAUCGCAAUCGAGUACCCGUGAUACUUUCUC